GGUACCGUGGGAGGGGCCGCGCGUGGGGCAGCGGGUAGCGAGUCCCUCCGUCCCCGCGAGUCGGCGCUUUUGGCCCCGCGGGAGGGGCCGGGCUCGAUGAGAAAAGCAUCAUUCAAGCUCAGAUUCGUGUUGAAGCCUGCCACAAGGUCCACCUGUUGUUGUGGGUUUGUGGGUGACCAGACCAAGUCUCGCUCUGUUGGCCAGGUUGGAGUGCAGUGGCGCGAUCUUGGCUCAUUUCAGCCUCCACCUCCCAGACUCAAGCAAAUCUCCUGCCUCAGUUUCCUGAGUAGCUGGGACUACAGGGGUUACCCCCAGCAGUGUGUGAGAAUGAAGAGUGUGGGCCACUGUGUCUCUGUUGACCUGCCAGAUAGGAAAUAGCGCCAGAGUUGCUGCAAUCCACGUCUCCCUGGAAUUCAGGAGCAGCUUGGCUGGAAGGCUCUGGCUGGAAGCUUGCAGAAGGCUGUCAGCUGGGUCUGCAUCAUCUGAAGGCUCAACGGGUACCGGGGGCCACUCCAUGGCCUGCGAGUCAGAGCUGGCCGUCGGUGGG
rnacentral:sRNA from 1 species